rnacentral:rRNA from 1 species
UACGGGGGGGGGGCAAGCGUUGUUCGGAAUUACUGGGCGUAAAGGGCUCGUAGGCGGCCAACUAAGUCAGACGUGAAAUCCCUCGGCUUAACCGGGGGAACUGCGUCUGAUACUGGAUGGCUUGAGUUUGGGAGAGGGAUGCGGAAUUCCAGGUGUAGCGGUGAAAUGCGUAGAUAUCUGGAGGAACACCGGUGGCGAAGGCGGCACUCUGGCCAAAUACUGACGCUGAGAUACGAAAGUGUGGGGAUCAACAGG